CGGGCAGGCUGCAGAUGAGACUUGGGUUGUCACUGCCCUGACCAUGAUGGGGUGAGCAGGAGAGGCUGUCCUGGGGCCUGAGACAGGGCAGGGAGGGGCUGGAGACAGGUGUAUCUUUUUUUCCUUAUCCACCUCCAGGGUCCUGACAGAGGAGGAGAUGGCCAACAGGUGGGAUCGUCACCUGACAGUAGGGGACAGAAGCCACGUUGCAGAGGUGAGUUCAUCCCUCCCCCCGGGCGUCCUCCAUGCUGGGCCAGGUUGGCAGGGGCUGUGCAGCCAGCUGCCUUGUCACCCAGAGCAGGAUUCAUCCAGGAGCCUCCUAAACCCAUCAGCCUGGGGCCAUCGUCUCAGCCUCACCAGUGAGUACUGUACUGAGGGCAACAGGAGUUCUUGAAGGAGUGUAGAUUCCUGCCUUACCAUGGGGCUGUGCCCACUGCAAGCCCACCUCCACUGUACCAAAGCAGCCCAGCAAGGCUUGGUGGGAAAAUGGGGGGACACUUGGUGCCAUCUCAGUGUAGCCUGCAUGCCAUGAGGUGACAGUGACAAGGACCGGGUACUUCAGGCGUGGAGCUUCUAGUCCUGGGGGAGGCCUGGAGCACACCCAUCUUGGGCACACAUGUGUGAUGCACACAGAGAAAUACAUGCACACCCCACAGUAGAAGACAGCUCCCCCUCCCCGGAGUAGGCAGUGAGGAUGCAGCAGGAAGGCAGCCUAAGCUGGAACCCUUGAGGCUGGGCCAACCCUGCUGGGGUCCCUGGGCUCUGCAGAGCCUGUGGUGACCAUGAGCAGCCCAGGGGCUGGAAGGGCUGAGCUGCUGCUGGCAGUGACCCCUGCAUCCCUCAGGGGUGUGUGUCCCGGAGAACAGCACCCCGGGUAGCUGCGGGCCUGUGACUGUUCCUGCCCGAUGUGUGCUGUCCCUGUCCUUAUGGUCAGCAGCAGCUUGGUGUUACCAGCAUGCGGCUCAGGAGCUGGUGCCCAGGAGUUCUCAGCGCUCUGUGCCUGAAGCCCUGGUCAGUGUCAGGACAGGGCCCUGGCUCCUGCUCUGGAAAGUCUGGGCCACACCGGCUUGAGGUCCUAUGCAGGUGGUGCUCAGCGGGUGGCUUCCCUGCCCUCCAUCCCAGGAGGACCCCCUGUGUCCACCUCCUACAACUCCUGGGAAGAGGGGCUGGAACAGAGCAGGGGGUAUCAGCAGGGGUUGGCAGUGCUGGGGUGGGGCCUGUGGUAGGACAGGAGGCUGCAGCCCUGGGAGUCUCCAUUCAGGUCAUUGCAGGGGCAGCCCCGAGUGUGGGGACCUCAGGAAGAAGGACUGGCCAUGAUGGGGCUCCCUGUGCCACCUUGUGUUCAUAGAAAAAGGCCUUCACAGUUGGGCUGUAAUAAAAUGGCAGAGGAAGAAAGGAGGGGCAGGAAGUGCAGGUUGCCUGGGACUUGGGACCGUUACGGCAGGUGGCAGAGGGCCCUGGCACCUCUGGUUCUGGGGCAGUUCUGCCAGAGCCCUGCCCUCUUCACCUGGGCCCUGGGGAGAACACAGGCCCCACUUCUGGUGACCUUUAAUGAAGCCAGGGCUGAGGACCCUGACCCAUGCCACAACAGAGCCACUUGGGAUUGACUGGCCGGCUUCUGUGAUGUUACGGUCACUGAGGAUGCGCACUCUGGGCUGGGAGGCGACUAGUGUCCAGUAGUGCAUCUACUGCCCAACUGACCAGCUGUUGGUAGCGUAGGCAGGAGGCACAUUUGAUAGAAUUGAAUGGAUUCUCGACGGAUGUGAGUGGGACUGGAUCUCCGCAUGACCUGUGAUGCGGGGAAGGUCACGCCAGGUGGGUGGCACUGGUCUCCCAUGCCAGGUUCCAUGAGUGAUGUGGCUGAGCUCUCAGUGGGCCCCUGUGUGCAAAGCAUGUAUACAGUCGUCCCAUUCCUCCCGCUGUGCUGGGCAUCAGUGUCGAAUGGGCCUUGGUGUGAUUCUGUGUCAGACACGGGUUCAAGACUAGGUGUCAGAUCAGCUGGUAUUAGGUGGGGCAGUGAGUCCACCUCUGAGAGCCCCAGAGAUGCGGGGACUGGGAGCGGGCCAGGGAGACCCUUAGACUUGGACUCCCUGGAGUACACAUGGAUGCCAGGCUGGGGGAGGAGCAUCCUUUCUGAGGGCAGGGGAGACAAUGUGGGGGCUGUCCUUCCCCAACCAUCCCUAGUCCCUGUGCUCUGCAUAAGUCAUCCUCCUGGGACCCAGCUGACCAGGGGGACAGCCCUCAGGGCAGCAGUUCCCGAGGGCUCCCUGUGCUGGCUCACAUGUGCAUGUGUGUAUUACAGAUUGGAUAUGGACACCUUGAGGUCCGGCAGAGCCCCGGAGCGAGCAGUGAUCAUCAUGAAGUAUGAGAAGGGACACCAAGGAGCGGCACUGUUGGAGCCUGAAGAAGAGGACAAUGAAGGCGGCUGAAUUGUCCCAGACAGGCUUCGGUUCCUGCAUGAGCAGAAGUUGCCCCAAGACAGCACCCUGGGGGCAAAGUGUAAACAGGUGCGCAGGAUCCAGAAAUGGAUCAAGAUGAUAAAGAACUACAGCAAAUAUUGUGGCAGCGAGAAGUUUCAGCACAGAAUUUAUAAGGGGAUCCCUGCCCAGGUGCGCGGGAAGGUGUGGGCCGUGAUGCUGGAGGUGGACAAGAAGAAGGCCCAGAAUCUGGGCAAAUACGCGAUCCUAGUCAGUGCCUCCUCCACGUCUCCUCAGACUCAGCUGGGACUGGACAUGUGUGUUUUGUGCCAGAGGCUUUAACCUGCUCUCUGCUGAACUCACCUGGGCAGCUUGGCAUAAGGCCAGAAGAGAGGAAUUGCUGUGCCCAUGAUGGGUGGGGGUCUCCCAGUAUGAGAUCACAAUGGUGUGAGGUCGGGAGCCCCACAGGCUCUGUGCUAACAGGGCCUGCCCUUCGCUGGCCCUGCCUUCACAUGCAAUUGCACCCCUGGCAUUGCCCUUGCCUGGAGUGGCUGGUCCGAUGGUCAGACAGCUCUCAAUGCUUCCGGGAAAGGAGGGAGCAAGGACUGGUGUGAGCAGAGGGCUGGCAACUGCAGCUGACUCUCGUGUCCCCGGCUGCCAUCAGGGAGCAGGGCCCAGCUGUGUGGCCCACCCUGCCUCCCCCAAGUCUGCAGUUUGGGGCUACCCUGGGAGCUGGGCCUGGAGACAGUCAUUGCCCAGACUCAGCUCCAAGCCAAGGGUGGCUUCCAACGUCUAGAUGGAGAUGGGCCCCUCCUGCAGGGGGCAGCAUGGAGCAGUGGUCAGGCUCUGGCUGACUCCUGGAGGGCAGGGCCUGAGAUGCCAGCGAGGAGGAUCAGAAGCCUGGCUGGGGUCAGACCGCGUCUAUGCUGAGAGCUGAGGGCAGGCAGGGGUAGUGCACAGGGACCUUUCAGAGCCCCUGUCUGAUACUGACCAUCGGGGUCCCAGUGGCCCCCUCAGCAGGGAUGCUGGCAAGGGGGUGACAUGGAUGCUGAGGCAAGUAGGGAGCCCAUGACCCCCCCUCAACGUGGGACCCAGAAGGGAAUGAGCUCCCUGCAGGGAACUCUCCCUGUCAGCCAGAAGAGCUGACGUGGACGUGAGGUCCUUGUGUGGCAAUGGGGCUUUUGCUAGUCCUGAGGCUGGCCCCUCCCCCUUGUCCUCCCCAUCCUGCCUUCCUCUCCCUAGAUCCUAGUCAGUGCCUCCUCCACGUCUCCUCAGACUCAGCUGGGACUGGACAUGUGUGUUUUGUGCUAGAGGCUUUAACCUGCUCUCUGCUGAAGAUGAAAAGAGCAGACCAGACUGGGCGCCAGACACUUCCAUCACAUUGACUCCGCCAUCACAUGGGCUUUCAGAAACCACCUGAUGUUCCAGGAAUGUUACGGAAUGAACCAAUGCACCUUAUUCCAAGUGCUCAUGGCCUAUUCUGUUUACAAUCCCGAGGUGGGCUACAGCCAGGGCCUGAGCCAUGUGGUGGCGCUUCUGCUCAUGUAUAUGCCCAAGGAGGACUCUUUCUGGGCCCUGGUCCAGCUCAUGGAAAACAGUAAGCACACGAUGCACGCCUUCCUAGGAGGAGGCUCUAACAUGGGGAUGUGGCUGAUACUAUGCGGGUUUCUACAAACCGAACACCCCAAAACUGGAGCGAUUCCAGCACCACCUGAGAGAUAUCAUGCAUCGCGUGCUCCCCUCCCUGGAGAAACACCUGGAGAAGGAGGGUGUGUACCUGGAGGACUACACCGUGCACUGGUGCAUCCAGGGCUUCCUGGAUGGGGUGCUGUUCCCCCAGCUCUGAGGAUGUGGGACAUCUAUAUCCUUGAGGGUGAGCACGUGCUCACCACCAUGGCAUACACGGCCCUCAAGAUCCAUCACAAGUGCCUGCUGAAGAUGUCCAGGGACCACAUCCAUGGGUUUCUGCAGCUGACCCUGAAGCAGGCCUGGUCACUGAGUGAGGAUGUGGUCAUCAGGCAGCUGCGGGCCUCCAUGCGUGAGCUGGGGAAGCUCCAGUGCCUCUUGCCUCCUGAAGCCAAGGCCAUCAAACGGUGUGGCAGGCCCCUGGGGCAGGCACACGUCCCCCAGAAGCAUGUUCCUGCCCCCAGUGCCAUGAAGGCCAAGAUCGCCAUUCAGGACACAGUGGCUGUGUGGGAGCAGACCAGGGGUCCCGCUGCCCGUGCAGUGAUGAUCCAUCCUCCAGAAAGCUUUGGCCUCUGCAUCACCGUGAGGGAAGGCAUCGAGGAGGAGGAGAGCUGCGAAGGCAGCCCAGAGCCCCUCGGCCUGGGCUCCCCUGUGUGGACCGCAGAGUCUCCACAUGUGGCCAGCCCCACGGAGACUCCAGAGAGCUCAUGGGGGAGGGGAGGGCUGUGCCAGUGUGCCAGUCUCCCUAACCUGAGCGGGCCAGGACAGAGGGAGGACGACUCUUCUGAUGCUGGCAGCCGGGAGGGCCUGUGGAUGUGGGCUCCUCCACAGGCCUUGGAGCCCCUGGAACCAGGGCCCAUGCAGCCCGUCCCAGCCUGGGGGCCAUGGCUGAAGACUCCCCACUACUGGCAUGGCAGCCCCAUGCACUCUGGACAGCCAUGGGCUGGAGCCGGCCAGAGCCAGCCCUGGGCUGGGAGACCAGGCCCGUGUGCCCUCCCUGGCCCGAGGCCUCCUUACCUCCUACUCCAUGGGGCACCUGGAUGAUGGGUGCCUCCUAGAAGAGAGGCUGAGCCCACCACGUGUCCUGCCCAGGCUGGGCAGCAGCCUUCCAUGUGUCUUCAUGGCAUCCUAUACACUUGAUUGAGCCCCGACCCCCCAGGCUCUUCCUGGGGCCAGGAUACCCCGUUACUGCAAGACAACAGCAGUGCUGGGAGCCACUGUACUAACCCCUGCCCCCUGCCCCUGCCACCCUCAGGUGGUGCUGACCCUGUAUUAAAUGGUUACAAGGAAACGUGUUUGCUCCAGUUUGUGACCCUGGUGUCCAUCGGGGUCUGGGUCAGGGUGGGAGAGCAGCAGCUGUGAGUGCCCGUGACCUCUGGGACAGAUCGGCACAAUAGGAACAGUCGUAGUGGGAGGGCCUGAGUCACCUCUAUGCUCUUGUAGACCUGGGCAGCCGUGUGCAGCAUCCCUGGCUUGCCCCCACAUGUCUCUCCCUUCUGUCCUGUAUAUUCUGGAACCCAGCUCCUCUUCACCCUGACACCGGGAGAGGGCCCCCAGCAUGCUCGGCUGGGUCCUAGGGGGAUGCCAGCAGGGCCUUUCUGUACUGCUGAGCCCUGGUGUCUGCACUGAGUUGCUGGGGGGAGGGCUGCCAUGGGUGCUGUGGGCUGGCCCCGCUUGCCCCAGGCCCGGCCCUGGUCUAGUACAGCGACCUGUUUUGAGCCCAUCCCCUCUGCCCCCACCUGUCCCAGCUCCCCACGGCCUCCUGUGCCACAGCUGUCUGCUGCUGCCUGCAGAGCUGGCUGCCUGGUGACUCCAGGUGCCCUCAGGGAUGGGGACGGGGCCUUUCUCUGUGCUCUUCUGGGUCUGUAGGUCAGAGCCCUCGGGUCCCAGCCAGGCCCACCUGAGCCCGCAUUCUGAUGAGGGAGAGAUGUGGCCUUUGCCCCCUAGAACGUGAGCCCUGGCCCCGGCCUCGGCUGUGCUGGAUGGGAGUGUGCGUCUGUACCACACCCCGUUUGUGAGCACAAGGCAGAGGCUGCAUCACAGAGACGUGGACUCGCUCUGUGUGUCUGGCCCCACCUGCUUCUCCUGUCACAGGUGCUCAGGGCAGGGGCCCAGCCUUCUUCCACGCUGUGUGGUGUCUCCCGAGGCCAUGGCUGAGGCUAUUGCUACUGUGUCUGGGAAUCAGCCAGCCCUGGGAGGCACGGUCUGUCCCCAGUUCUUCAGGGGCUCACGCGUCAGAGCAUCAAGAAUACAAAAGGUGAAAGUCACAGUUAGUGAACGCGGCUCUGGGGUGAAUAUAGCAAAUAGACAAAAUGCAGAGUCCAAGAAAAUAUGGUUAAAACUCACCCUGCCCCCACCCAGACACAAAGCCACCUUCCACAUCCUCUUGUCCAUCUCACAAAGGCCAAGCAGGUCAGGUGAGAGUGAGAGGGCUGCAAUCCCACCUGCAGGAGGCUUGCAGGGGACACAAGGUGUCCAGGUUUUGUCCAGCGUCCAGCAUGGUGGGGGAGAGGAAAACCUAGAGAGAGACAGACCUGAUUCCACAGCGCCUCUGCCACUGGACAGCUGAGCCAUUGGCAAAGUCCCUCACCUUCCUAGCUUCCAUUUGCUGUCCUGUGAAAUGUCAGUGUCAGCAGCACCUGGACCAGGCAUCCUAGAGACACACAGGCUGGUGUUGUGGCACAGCGGGUUAAGCCGCUGCCUGCGAUGCCAGCUUCUGUGCUGGUCCGAGUGGCCGCUCUUCUGCUUCCAACCCAGCCCCCUGCGAAUGCGCCUGGGAAGACAUCAAUGAUGGCCAGAGUACUUGGGCCCCUGCCUCCCAAGUGGGAGACCUGGAUGGAGCUCCAGGUUCCUAGCUUCAGCCGUUGUGGCCAUUUGGGGAGUGAACCAUGAAAUGGAAGAUUUCUCUCUGCCUCUCCCUCCCUCCCUCCCUCCCUUUCUCCCUCUCUCCCUCUGUC